AGGCAGCAGUGGGGAAUAUUGGACAAUGGGGGGAACCCUGAUCCAGCCAUGCCGCGUGUGUGAAGAAGGCCUUCGGGUUGUAAAGCACUUUAAUUUGGGAGGAAGGGCUUACGGUUAAUAACCGCUAAGUUUUGACGUUACCAAAAGAAUAAGCACCGGCUAACUUC
rnacentral:rRNA from 1 species